GCUCCUCUCUGGGCUGUGGGAGCAGGUCUGACCUAGAGAGCCAGAGCCGAGACGCGGAACUGCUUUUUCAGGAGUGCACGUGUCUGGAACCCCGUUCCUUAGAAAACCUUUCGGGAGGGGGGAGCUCCUGCAUUAUUGCCCAAUCAGAACACAAGGAGGUCGGGCUCUGUCCAAUCAUAGACUCCUGCAUCAGCAACGCAGCCCAAUCAGGGCCAGGGGGCGGAGCGUCGCUGUUCAGUUGUCACAGCGGAGGGUCCAGCGCUCCCCAGCUCUAACGCCGGGCCGCGGGAGCAAGCGGAGAAUGGGCUGAGUGGCGUGGUUCUGGGGCUUGGGCUAAGAACACCGCCGGAGAGAGGCCGCUCAGGAAUGUCCUCUCCUCCACUGCAGUGGCGGUCAAGGCGCCCGGUCCUACGCAUGAAAGCAGACGAAGAGGUUGUUAGUCUUAAAAAACAGUAGUCUUCAUACAGGGUGCAGAGUUUACAACGGUGCGCGUCCCUCUUGCAUUUCCUCUAAUGUGGGCAUCAGUGCUACUGUAGUCAUUCUGAUGUAGACGCAGAGAGGUCCCUACCAUGAUCCUAACAGCUCUCUUGCCAGCAAGAUUGUUAGAGAAUGUCUGCAAGAUUUGUGCAGGCCUGUCACUUACAAGAAGAGGAAGCUUCGAGCCACCCUGAGCUCUCUGCAGGAGGCCCGUGAAGUCCUGCCAACUCUAAACUCCUGCAGAAUGAAGCAUGACUGUGGUAGGGUCCCUGGAGAAGCUUGUGUGUGACUGUUAGGGUGGUGGUCCCAUCCCUGGAGCUGAACCCCCAAGUCCAGUCUCUUCCCCAGGUUAGACCGGCACCUCCUCACAGCACCGUCGCUGGGCUCGUCCUGCCUCUCCGUCCACUACCCCCUUCACAGCCGCACGGCUCCUUGUCGUUGGUGUCGGGGCUUGUGCCUCCCGUCAACACUGUGUUGUCCAGGAUACCACAGUACUUCUAAAAUCCUCGCCCGGAUGCGUGAGGCCUCUUCUUCUCGUUCAGAAGUUGUUGGCUAUUUGAUUUUUUUUGGCAAGUAGUUUUUGUUCUAAAACGUUUCAUCUGAGCACCCGCCUAGGUGGCCUGUUC